UACGGAGGGGGCUAGCGUUGUUCGGAAUUACUGGGCGUAAAGCGCGCGUAGGCGGCUUUGUAAGUUAGAGGUGAAAGCCCGGAGCUCAACUCCGGAACUGCCUUUAAGACUGCAUCGCUAGAACGUCGGAGAGGUAAGUGGAAUUCCGAGUGUAGAGGUGAAAUUCGUAGAUAUUCGGAAGAACACCAGUGGCGAAGGCGACUUACUGACGACUGUUGACGCUGAGGUGCGAAAGCGUGGGGAGCAAACAGG
rnacentral:rRNA from 1 species